GACGAACGCUGGCGGCGUGCUUAACACAUGCAAGUCGAGCGAAUGGAUUAAGAGCUUGCUCUUAUGAAGUUAGCGGCGGACGGGUGAGUAACACGUGGGUAACCUGCCCAUAAGACUGGGAUAACUCCGGGAAACCGGGGCUAAUACCGGAUAACAUUUUGAACCGCAUGGUUCGAAAUUGAAAGGCGGCUUCGGCUGUCACUUAUGGAUGGACCCGCGUCGCAUUAGCUAGUUGGUGAGGUAACGGCUCACCAAGGCAACGAUGCGUAGCCGACCUGAGAGGGUGAUCGGCCACACUGGGACUGAGACACGGCCCAGACUCCUACGGGAGGCAGCAGUAGGGAAUCUUCCGCAAUGGACGAAAGUCUGACGGAGCAACGCCGCGUGAGUGAUGAAGGCUUUCGGGUCGUAAAACUCUGUUGUUAGGGAAGAACAAGUGCUAGUUGAAUAAGCUGGCACCUUGACGGUACCUAACCAGAAAGCCACGGCUAACUACGUGCCAGCAGCCGCCGUAA
rnacentral:rRNA from 1 species